CUGCUUUCUUCCUUGUUCCACGAAUGCCCUGUGGAUCUGAGCCUGCCCAUGGCACCCAGCACUCCAGCCCUUGCUGCUCCCCUCCCUGAGCUGAGCCCUCUGCUGGACCCGUCUCAGGCCCUGUGGAGCUGCUGGAUGUCCCCGCAAGUGUCCCCUGAGGUGACCAGGCCACCACCCUAAAGGCACAUCUUGCUAACUGCUGUCCCCAUGCCAGGAACGGUGCACCCAGCAGGUCCUCAAGCCACAGCAAAGACAAGAUGGUGGAAAGACGUAUUCAAUGUUCGGCGGGAGAGUGGCUGCAACCUGUACUCCUGCUGCAGAGAAUCUGACGCUGUCAUGAACCUGUGUGGAAAAGAUAUUGACAGACCAAAAGCUCAUCCGAACGUCCCAUCACUGGCACCUUCCUAAGGGACACUGUCUUGAGCAGAAAGAAAGUGGUUCAGAAUGAACAUGGUUGGAAGUCUGAGACUCAGGAAGAGUGAAGGGCAAAGAGGAAUGUAUGUAGUAAAUCUAAAAACCACUGGCUGUGCAAGCGAUGAUGAUAAUCAUGCCCAGUAGACUGUUAAAAACAUUAUUAAACAGGCUGACAGCAAUAGCAGGAAGUCAGAAGGGAGCACGGGACUUCACAUUUUCCAGGCUUCAAAGUCGAUAUAUUGCCAGGUGGGUAUAAGUGUGACUUCCUUCACUUUAGAUUUUGAUAAGUUUAACGUGCAAUGAGUAAUUUGUAGGCAGUGAGUAAAACACCAGAAACAGAGUCUGUAACCUCCAAACCAGAAGAAGGAAAAACCAAAAUGAGAGAAGAAGCGUCAAUGAAAACUAAGGCAAGAACAGAGAGAAAAAGGAACAUAGAAUAGAUGAGAUCAACAAAAGUUAAAUGAAAUCAAAUGGUAGGUACUGUGGUCAUCAGGCUCCAAGGCAGCCCCCAGUGAUCCUCACCCCCAGGCAAUCACGCAUGUGUGCUCCCCUCCUGUCUGGAUCAGGAUUGAGGUGCAUGGCCAGUAGAAUAUAGGGGCAGCAGGGGUAUGUGAUGUCUUGGGUGAGGUCAUAAAGACCUCAUGAAUCUAGUGGUCUCUCUUGAAUCACUCACUGGAGGAAGCCAGCUGCCAUGUUGUGAGGACACUCAGCCCUGUGGAAGGUCCACGUGGGAGGGACUGAUGGGGGGUGCACCAUCAGGGAGGUGGGUCCCCAGCUCCAGGCAAACCUUCAGAUGAGGCUGCCUCAGUUCACACCGGGACUGAGCUUCAGAAGCAUCCCUGAAGCAGCACCAUGCCGAGGAGCCCUUCUCGGACUCCUGAGCCACAGAAAAUGUGGAGGAUAAAUGUUUGCUUUGCCACAGCUCUGCUUUGCAGUGAUUUCUUAUGCAGAAUCAAUCACCACAGAAUCCAUGUACAUGAUUACAUUAAACGUAAAUGUUACAUGCACUGGUUAAAAGACACUGGCAGUCCGGAAUUUUAUGCAGAGAAAUAUGUAAAACAUAAGCUUAUAUAAUGAUGAAAGAAAAAACAUACCAGGAAAAUCCUCACCAAAAUAAAAUUAGUAACAAUCUGAAAACUCUAAAGCAAGAACUGACAGAAUUACAUGCAUCUUAUCAUACUUUUCUUAGUAACUGAUAAGCAAACUAAGAAAAUGAAAUAUGUCAACAACACAAUAAACAAAUCUGGCCCAACUCAUGAUACUGAACAAUUUCAGAAUUACAUAUUAUUUGCACCAAGAAAUAUUUACAAAAAUUGAUGACCAAAAGCAACUGACAAUCAUCUAAUGACUCACAAUCCUCCAUCUGACAUGUACUCCUCCAUCUGACAUGCACUCCUCCAUCUGACGUGCACUCCUCCAUCUGAUGUGCACUCCUCCAUCUGACGUGCACUCCUCCAUCUGACGUGCACACCUCCAUCUAACGUGCCCUCCUCCAUCUGAUGACGUGCACUCCUCCAUCUGACGUGCAUUCCUCCAUCUGACAAUGUGUACUCCUCCAUCUGACGUGCACUACUCCAUCUGACGAAAUGCACUCCUCCAUCAGAUGAUGUGUACUCCUCCAUCUGACAUGCACUCCUCCAUCUGACAACAUGCACUCCUCCAUCUGAUGAUGUGUACUCCUCCAUCUGACAUGCACUCCUCCAUCUGACAACGUGCACUCCUCCAUUUGACGUGAACUCCUCCAUCUAACGACGUGUACCCCUCCAUCUGACAACGUGCACUCCUCCAUCUGACAACAUGCACUCCUCCAUCUGACAACGUGCACUCCUCCAUCUGACAUGCACUCCUCCAUCUGACAAUGUGUACUCCUCCAUCUGAUGAUGUGUACUCCUCCAUCUGACGUGUACUCCUCCAUCUGACGUGCACUCCUCCAUCUGACAAUGUGUACUCCUCCAUCUGACAUGCAUUCCUCCAUCUGACAAUGUGCACUCCUCCAUCUGAUGUGCACGCCUCCAUUUGACAAUGUGUACUCCUCCAUCUGAUGCGCAUUCCUCCAUCUGACGACGUGCACUCCUCCAUCUGACGAUGUGUUUUGAUGAAAACCCAGCAUCCCCUGUCACAGUUAAGAAACUCCUGCCCACUCUUAACUCUGCAGGUCCAUGUAGGUGUGGAGCAGCAAGAAUAAGACACAAAAGGCAUAAAGAUCAUAAGGGAAGAAGUGAAACGGAAUUGAUUUGCAGGUGAUGUGACUUUGUCGAAAACCCAAAGGCAUCUACAAGUUGCCAGAAUCAAGAGGUGAAUUUACCAACAAGUUGGGACACAGUGUCCAUGUACAAAAUCAGGGCAUGUCCCACAUUUUAGCAACAAACCAGAACCAAGAGGUGAAUUUACCAACACGUCAGGACAGAGUGUCCAUGUACAAAAUCAGGGCAUGUCCCACAUUUUAGCAACAAACCAGAACCAAGAGGUGAAUUUACCAACACGUCAGGACACAGUGUCCAUGUACAAAACCAGGGCAUUUCGCACAUUUUAGCAACAAACAAUUGGAAAAUAAAAUUUCAAAUACUAUUGAUAAAAUUAUCAAAAUUUAUUUGUAAAAUAUACUUAUAAAAGUAUCAAAAAUCCAUCAAAUACCUAGGAAUAAAUGUAAUGAAAACUAUGCAAUAAUAUUGCUUGGAGAAACUGAAAAAAACCUAAAUAAACGUUGAGAUACAUCAUGUGCAGGGAUCAGAAGCCUCAAUAUUGUAGGAUAUCAAUUCUCCCCAAAAUGAUCUAUAGAUUUGACACAAUCUCAAUAAACAUCCCAG
rnacentral:lncRNA from 10 species